GACAGAGGGGGCAAGCGUUGCUCGGAAUCACUGGGCGUAAAGGGCGCGUAGGCGGGAUGGCAAGUCGGUCGUGAAAUCCUUCGGCUCAACCGAAGAACGUCGGCCGAUACUGCCGUUCUUGAGGGAUGCAGAGGAGAUUGGAAUUCCCGGUGUAGCGGUGAAAUGUGUAGAGAUCGGGAGGAACACCGGUGGCGAAGGCGGGUCUCUGGGCAUCUCCUGACGCUGAGGCGCGAAAGUGUGGGGAGCGAACAGG
rnacentral:rRNA from 1 species